CGUUCGGGCGAUGCGCAGCGUCGAAGAACAACAGACAUUGGAACACCACGUUCAAGUGAUAUCAGUCGACGCUGAGCGUCCGCCGUGAACGCUGCUACCGUACGUUUUCACAACUACUGGACACUCGUGUUGCAAAUACGCGGGAUUUUUCGGAAUAAUUGUGCGACUCUAAAUUUGUUCCUCGAGACUCGUGAACGCUGGGACAUCAUCAUGGAUUAUUUGGACGUUGUCAUGGCAUUCAAAGUGGACAUAAUAUUUUAUAAAAUUCCCAGGGAGUGAAUUUUGUUCCGACAGUCAGUGAAACUUAGUUUAUAUAAUUCUUGGAAAUUAAAAUCCUUGAAUUUUUAUUGGAAAGCAACUAAUAAUUUUUUUUGUUGGGGAUGCUCCAUUGAAAUAUGAAGAACUGUACGAAGGUAGUUAAAAGUUCUGAGACUGCUAUCCAGGAAACAUCCCGCAGGAUAAUGCAUUUGAGAGCAUCUGAUAGAAUGAGUGCUGUGUGUAGAUUCCUGUGUAGAGUAGUUUGUGAUCUGAAAAUAACCGCCAGGACAAUUCUUCUGGUGUCAUGUGUCCUGCUCCACGCGGUCCAUAUGAGCUCCGCAGCAUUCACAACAGCAAGUACUGCCCCAGAACCCGAGUUCGCCGAGGAGAUCGGCAACAGGACUGUGCCAGCAGGACGAAACAUAAAGUUGGCAUGUAGCGUCAAGGACUUGGGAAGGUACCAGGUAGCCUGGAUGCUGUUCGAUAAAAGUGCAAUUCUUACAGUCCACAAUCAGGUGAUAACGAGAAAUCCGAGGAUAUCGGUUACCCAUGACAAACACAGGACUUGGUAUUUGCAUAUUCAUAAUGUCCAUGAGGAUGAUAAGGGCAAGUACAUGUGUCAGAUCAACACAGCCACGGCCAAGACGCAGUCUGGUUUCUUAAAUGUUGUUGUUCCGCCAAAUAUCGACGACUCGCAGAGUUCGUCAGACGCAAUCGUGCGGGAGAAUGCAAACGUUACACUGACGUGCAAAGCAACUGGAAGCCCAGCUCCCAUUAUACGAUGGAGACGUGACGACAGUGAGAAUAUUGCAAUAAACAGAUCAUUAGAAGUUGCCGAGUGGGAGGGUGAGACCCUGGAGAUAACGCGUAUUUCUAGACUCGGAAUGGGAGCGUAUUUAUGCAUUGCCAGCAAUGGAGUACCACCUGCUGUUAGCAAACAGAUCAAAGUAUCAGUCGACUUUUCUCCGAUGCUGUGGAUACCACACCAGCUGGUGGGUGCACCACUGGGUUUUGCUGUGACCCUCGAGUGUUACUCGGAGGCCCAUCCAACGUCCCUGAACUACUGGACUCGUGAAGGGGGUAGAAUGAUACACGAGAGUAAAAAAUACAAAAUGACUUCUGUCGCAGAAAAGCCGGCCUACAAAACCCACAUGACACUGACAAUUUACGAUUUGGCGCCAUCGGAUUAUGGAAGCUACAAAUGCGUCGCCAAAAACCCACGCGGGGACACAGACGGCACAAUUCGACUAUACAUGUCUACACCACCGAGCACAAGCCCCGGUCCACUGACCACAGAGCCAUUUAGAAAAGGCUGGGACGUACUGGCAGAGAUGAACAAUUCGAUAGAUGGCAACCCGAGUUCACUGACUUUUCAUAAUGGAAAAACAUCGAAGAAAGGUAAAUCCCAGUCAAAUCUCAACGACAUCGAUAAAUCAGAGCGCAAAUCGGACAACGUGGAUAGAAAGGGCAACUACAAAUGGGCGUCUGAUAAUGCGCUACUUGUACCCCAGUAAUUCCCUGAUAACCCGAAGCACACCAUCCCGAUCAUCGGCCAAAAGUUUAUUCAAAAUGCUCGAGUCGUGAUGAGAAAUUUAGGGGUUGCCAUAAGAUUAUCAAGGGUAGCAUCGUGGCUGCUCACAAUGACUCUCAUCUCAACGUGGAUCAUCUGAUAAACAUGCGCCAAUAUUUACUCCACGGUGAAUGUGAUGGUUUGAAGACAUUUGGUGUCGGUGAAACGAGAAUUUAUAAAGAGAAUUUUAAAUAAGACGACAAGACUGAGACUGUGUAGUUAGCGCUGUUUUAAUGUGAAUAAGAAGAGAGUGAUUUAAUGUUGAGGAAUGUCGUGAAAGGACACGUGCCAACACCUAUACCAAGAUCAAUCACUCGUCGUUUCUGGAGUGCAAAAAUUAUCGCUAGUGAGAUAUUAUUAAGAAAUUACUGUAAUGUGCUAGAAUUAAUGUAGAGGAAAGAGACAUUUGGGGUGAAUUACUGGAACGAGUGCAACGAUCGUCGCUUUUGAUGUAAUAUAUUGUCAAACGUAUUAUGUCUCGAUACGUCAAAACGAAGGUGAAGAGAAUAUGUGUGAUACGUGAUGAAAGAGUUUAGAUAUGCGAAGGCAUUUGCGCAUUGAAGAAGAAAAACAAGUGGAGUAUGGGCUUCAAUAACGAAGGAUUCCAUGGUAAAUGUUCUAUACACACUUUGUUUUUUAUAUUUCACCUAAAAAAUAACUGCUAACAGCAACAGAUUUACCGAUAAUGUUAUAGUUUAUUUAUUUUCUCAUCUAUUUAACGUCGAAGUUGUGAUUGAAAUGAAGGAAAUCCGGGAGAAACCUCAAGUACUUUCAACAACUGUGUAAUUGUGUAGUGGAUAGAAAUUUAAUAUUUUACACACAAGCAAUAUUUACUAUGAAAAAUAGUUCG